UGGGGAAUUUUGGACAAUGGGCGCAAGCCUGGUCCAGCAAUGCCGCGUGCAGGAUGAAGGCCUUCGGGUUGUAAACUGCUUUUGUACGGAACGAAACGGCUCUGUCUAAUACAUGGGGCUAAUGACGGUACCGUAAGAAUAAGCACCGGCUAACUACGUGCCAGCAGCCGCGGUAAUACGUAGGGUGCAAGCGUUAAUCGGAAUUACUGGGCGUAAAGCGCGCGUAGGUGGUUAGUUAAGUUGGAUGUGAAAUCCCCGGGCUCAACCUGGGAACUGCAUUCAAAACUGACUGACUAGAGUAUGGUAGAGGGUGGUGGAAUUUCCUGUGUAGCGGUGAAAUGCGUAGAUAUGUGGAGGAACACCGAUGGCGAAGGCAGCCCCCUGGGUCAAGAUUGACGCUCAUGCACGAAAGCGUGGGGAGCAAACA
rnacentral:rRNA from 1 species